AAGGUGAGAGCCAGUGAGGUCGGCCAAGAAUGACUUCCUAGAAACCAUUUAUAAGAAUUGUUACAUUCAUUUUUUUUAUGAAUGUAACUAUGAUGGUAUUUAGGCAAGUCAUCCUUGGCUUACCAAACAUGAAUGGCUCUGUAUCU
rfam:Daucus carota subsp. sativus cultivar DH1 chromosome 6, whole genome shotgun sequence.